GUAGCAAUAGCUACUCAUGAGUUAUGUCAGGCAGUGGUGUUAAUUGCCACCAUUCCUGGGAUGAGGCUGAGAGCAGUAAGGAAUCACGAGGCUUGUUCCUUCCCUUUAAAGAUUUGCAGUGUAUUGGAGAAAUACGCCUGGCUUUCUUGAACCAGCUCAUAAAUGCAAAGGAAGUGAUUGGGAGCUAAAUUAUGGAGAGGACAGCAGUGGACAUUCAGAGCAAGGGGAGGUCAGUCAGGAAGAGCCAUGAGGUCAGUGAAGUCCUAUGGGCCAUAGGACUUGGCUCUUAAGUGUUUGGUUGAGUCAAGGUGAAAGU
rnacentral:lncRNA from 1 species